GGGGAAUUGUUCGCAAUGGGCGCAAGCCUGACGACGCAACGCCGCGUGGAGGAUGAAGAUUUUCGGAUCGUAAACUCCUGUCGAAUGGGACGAAUAGAUUGUGGGUUAACAGCCCAUGGUCCUGACGGUACCGUUAAAGGAAACCCCGGCUAACUCCGUUCCAGCAGCCGCGGUGACACGUAGGCACCAAGCGUUGUCCGGAUUUAUUGGGCGUAAAGAGCGCGUAGGCGGUUCAGUAAGUCGGGUGUGAAAACUCAGGGCUCAACCCUGAGAGGCCACUCGAUACUGCUGUGACUUGAGUACGGUAGGGGAGCGGGGAAUUCCUGGUGUAGCGGUGAAAUGCGCAGAUAUCAGGAGGAACACCAGUGGCGAAGGCGCCGCUCUGGGCCGUAACUGACGCUGAGGAGCGAAAGCGUGGGGAUCAA
rnacentral:rRNA from 1 species